rnacentral:rRNA from 1 species
AGAGUUUGAUCAUGGCUCAGAUUGAACGCUGGCGGCAGGCCUAACACAUGCAAGUCGAGCGGAUGAAGUGAGCUUGCUCACGGAUUCAGCGGCGGACGGGUGAGUAAUGCCUAGGAAUCUGCCUGGUAGUGGGGGACAACGUUUCGAAAGGAACGCUAAUACCGCAUACGUCCUACGGGAGAAAGCAGGGGACCUUCGGGCCUUGCGCUAUCAGAUGAGCCUAGGUCGGAUUAGCUAGUUGGUGAGGUAAUGGCUCACCAAGGCUACGAUCCGUAACUGGUCUGAGAGGAUGAUCAGUCACACUGGAACUGAGACACGGUCCAGACUCCUACGGGAGGCAGCAGUGGGGAAUAUUGGACAAUGGGCGAAAGCCUGAUCCAGCCAUGCCGCGUGUGUGAAGAAGGUCUUCGGAUUGUAAAGCACUUUAAGUUGGGAGGAAGGGUUGUAGAUUAAUACUCCGCAAUUUUGACGUUACCGACAGAAUAAGCACCGGCUAACUCUGUGCCAGCAGCCGCGGUAAUACAGAGGGUGCAAGCGUUAAUCGGAAUUACUGGGCGUAAAGCGCGCGUAGGUGGUUCGUUAAGUUGGAUGUGAAAUCCCCGGGCUCAACCUGGGAACUGCAUCCAAAACUGGCGAGCUAGAGUAUGGUAGAGGGUGGUGGAAUUUCCUGUGUAGCGGUGAAAUGCGUAGAUAUAGGAAGGAACACCAGUGGCGAAGGCGACCACCUGGACUGAUACUGACACUGAGGUGCGAAAGCGUGGGGAGCAAACAGGAUUAGAUACCCUGGUAGUCCACGCCGUAAACGAUGUCAACUAGCCGUUGGGAGCCUUGAGCUCUUAGUGGCGCAGCUAACGCAUUAAGUUGACCGCCUGGGGAGUACGGCCGCAAGGUUAAACUCAAUGAAUUGACGGGGCCC